rnacentral:ncRNA from 1 species
GGGAGCCGUAUGACGCGCGAGUGUCACGUACGGUUCUGCGAGAGACUUCGGGCGCAAUUCCCGGGGUCUACUCACC